rnacentral:rRNA from 1 species
UACGAAGGGGGCUAGCGUUGUUCGGAAUUACUGGGCGUAAAGCGCGCGCAGGCGGCCAUUCAAGUCAGGGGUGAAAGCCCAGAGCUCAACUCUGGAACUGCCCUUGAAACUGUAUGGCUUGAGUAUGAGAGAGGUGAGUGGAAUUCCCAGUGUAGAGGUGAAAUUCGUAGAUAUUGGGAAGAACACCGGUGGCGAAGGCGGCUCACUGGCUCAUUACUGACGCUCAGGCGC